rnacentral:rRNA from 1 species
GAACAUGAGAGUUUGAUCCUGGCUCAGGAUGAACGCUGGCGGCGUGCUUAACACAUGCAAGUCGAACGAAGCUGCUUAACUGAUCUUCUUCGGAAUUGACGUUUUGUAGACUGAGUGGCGGACGGGUGAGUAACGCGUGGGUAACCUGCCCUGUACAGGGGGAU